CCUACGGGAGGCAGCAGUGGGGAAUAUUGCACAAUGGGCGCAAGCCUGAUGCAGCCAUGCCGCGUGUGUGAAGAAGGCCUUCGGGUUGUAAAGCACUUUCAGCGGGGAGGAAGGCGUUAAGGUUAAUAACCUUGUCGAUUGACGUUACCCGCAGAAGAAGCACCGGCUAACUCCGUGCCAGCAGCCGCGGUAAUACGGAGGGUGCAAGCGUUAAUCGGAAUUACUGGGCGUAAAGCGCACGCAGGCGGUCUGUCAAGUCGGAUGUGAAAUCCCCGGGCUCAACCUGGGAACUGCAUUCGAAACUGGCAGGCUAGAAUCUUGUAGAGGGGGGUAGAAUUCCAGGUGUAGCGGUGAAAUGCGUAGAGAUCUGGAGGAAUACCGGUGGCGAAGGCGGCCCCCUGGACAAAGACUGACGCUCAGGUGCGAAAGCGUGGGGAGCAAACAGGAUUAGAUACCCCAGUAGUC
rnacentral:rRNA from 1 species